rnacentral:rRNA from 1 species
GGGGGAUAUUGCACAAUGGAGGAAACUCUGAUGCAGCAACGCCGCGUGAGGGAAGAAGGUCUUCGGAUUGUAAACCUUUGUCCUUGGUGACGAAACAAAUGACGGUAGCCAAGGAGGAAGCUCCGGCUAACUACGUGCCAGCAGCCGCGGUAAUACGUAGGGAGCAAGCGUUGUCCGGAUUUACUGGGUGUAAAGGGUGCGUAGGCGGCUCUGCAAGUCAGGCGUGAAAACUAUGGGCUUAACCCAUAGACUGCGUUUGAAACUGUGGGGCUUGAGUGAAGUAAAGGUAGGCGGAAUUCCCGGUGUAGCGGUGAAAUGCGUAGAGAUCGGGAGGAACACCAGUGGCGAAGGCGGCCUACUGGGCUUUAACUGACGCUGAGGCGCGAAAGCGUGGGGAGCAAAC